UAUUAAUUGAAAAAUAAAAAUAAAAUUAAUAAUUUUUUUAUUAGUUUCUCAUUAUUCUCAAUUUAUAAAUCAUGUUCUUAUCAUAUUUAUUGUUUAUCCCUUAUAUAUUUUAGCGUAAACAGGCCGUUGUUGGCUGUGUGACAUUCGUUAGAUUUUGUACCGUGGCGUAUGGUACGCGGUAUUAGUCCAGUCGAACUACACAUAGUGUGCGAUGCCUGAUAAAUGUGUCACGGGGCGCGGGACUCCGUUUAACACGAAGCGAUAUUGGACACAGUACCGCGUCGCUUAUUAUUAUAUUAUUAAUAAAUUUUGUAAUUUAUUAUUUCAGAUGAAAAUUCUAAGACUGUACGAUCUACUUGUUAUGCGUGUCAAGAAGUAUUUCGCAAAAAUAGAGAAGAAAUAAAUUUGACUAAUUGUUGUAAGAACACUGUAUGUGAUAAUUGUUUUCAUGAAAAAUAUUCUCAGUAUAUUGUAAGAAUUCAAAAACAGUGUCCAUGUUAUAAGGAGUGUAGUAGUAGUGGUAAUUCUAUUUCAAAUAUGUUACAUAAGUUUCUAAAUUCUAAAUAUAUUGUUGGCAACAACGUUAGAAAAGACACUAUAAAAUGUUUAGACAAAGAAUGUCGAAUUUGCUUUGGGCAUUCAAAAAAUUGAAAAUACAGUAUUUCUCUAUUUGUCCACGUAUUAUUUGUAAAAAUUGCUCCAAAAUAAUGAAAAGUACCAAUAAUAUCAACACCCAUUUGUAAGACAUAAUGUUACAUAAAGAAAAAAAUGGAUACAAUGCUUUUCUGAAGAUGCCUUGACAUAUUUUGUAAUGACUCUGUAUAAUAUCGUUAUCUAAACAUAAUUUUGAAAUUUAUUAAGCAAAUUUUAAUUAAAAAAUAUGUAUUAACAUCUCAAUUUUCUAUCAAUUAUAAUUUUAAUUGUCUUAUUAAUAAUAGUAAUUUGUAUUCUCAGUUUUAUUUUACUUCCUCAUUAUUUUAAUUACUUUAUUUAAAUUUUUAAUUAGAAAAAUUUCAUUAUAAAAAAUUUUAAAUGUAAUAUUCAUAAUUUAAUUUUGAUUCACACUGAUAUAAUUACAAAUGUAUUAAAAUAAUAGUUAUAAUUAAAAAAAAUCAUAAAUAGGAAUAAAACAAACAGUAAUAGAAUUUCUCUUAAUAUAAUGCUGUAUUUUUUAAGAAUAAACAUUUAUAAAAUACAAACGCUUACACAAU